ensembl:misc_RNA Metazoa_SRP Metazoan signal recognition particle RNA
GCUGGGCGUGGUGGCUCACGCCUGUAAUCCCAACACUGGGAGGCCGAGGUGGGUGGAUCACCUGAGGUCAGGAGUUUGAGACCAGCCUGGCCAACAUAGUGAAACCCCAUCUCUA